rnacentral:rRNA from 1 species
AGUGAACGCUGGCGGUAGGCCUAACACAUGCAAGUCGAACGGCAGCACAGUAAGGGCUUGCUCUUACGGGUGGCGAGUGGCGGACGGGUGAGGAAUACAUCGGAAUCUACUUUUUCGUGGGGGAUAACGUAGGGAAACUUACGCUAAUACCGCAUACGACCUACGGGUGAAAGCAGGGGAUCUUCGGACCUUGCGCGAUUGAAUGAGCCGAUGUCGGGUUAGCUAGUUGGCGGGGUAAAGGCCCACCAAGGCGACGAUCCGUAGCUGGUCUGAGAGGAUGAUCAGCCACACUGGAACUGAGACACGGUCCAGACUCCUACGGGAGGCAGCAGUGGGGAAUAUUGGACAAUGGGCGCAAGCCUGAUCCAGCCAUACCGCGUGGGUGAAGAAGGCCUUCGGGUUGUAAAGCCCUUUUGUUGGGAAAGAAAAGCAGCAGGUUAAUACCCCGCUGUUCUGACGGUACCCAAAGAAUAAGCACCGGCUAACUUCGUG